rfam:Clostridiales bacterium 38-18 SCNpilot_bf_inoc_scaffold_1252, whole genome shotgun sequence.
UUGAAAAAUGCAUAUAAACCGUAGACAGUAGGUGCUAACGCUUAAUUUCCUACCGAGGUAAGAAUAAAUAGUUUAUGUAACGUAAAUUAUGACCUCUCUUAUCUACGGAAGAGAGGUUUUAUUUUGUACAA